rnacentral:lncRNA from 1 species
CCGCGCGCGAACCCCGCCGGCCACGUCCGGCCCCCGCCCGGCCUUUGUCCCGGUGCUGAGCCGCCGCGCCGGGGGAGGGGACUGGACUGACCCCGUCGCCCGUUCACUGAUUGACGUAUCGAUUCAUUCCAGCACUCUCGCUCCGGCAGCCGCCAUCCACCGCCAGUUUGGAGAGCCGGACACCCGGGUUCGAAUCCCGGCUUUGCCGCUUUUCCACUCUGUGCCCUCGGCAGACUCUAGGAGGAAAAGGUGUUUUUACAGAGGACGGCCUCCAGACAUUUGGACAUUUCCAAUGAGGCCUGAGGACCCUCUGACUUGGGAACUGUACUUCAGAAGAAUGUGCCUUACAGGAAUUACAUCAGUGAAGGUCCAGAGUCAGGGAGCCGGUGGAUGGAGCCCGUCACUGCCUGGCUCUAGGUGGAUCUCACACGUUGAAGCUGCCGUGGCUGGGGCAGCUCCUCGUUUCUUCAUCUAGUGCCUCCUAGCACUGGCUGGGCACUGAGUCACUUUCAGGAGAUGUUGGCUGAAUGAAUGGAUAAAUGAAUAUAUAAUGCAUGGAUGGGAGGUUUAGGCUCCUGGCCAGUGUUUUCACAGCCAGUAAGUGGGGGCUCUUUUCAACAAACCGUACGACUCUUCUCCAUGCCACGACAGAGCUACUUCCCACCCCGGUCCAGGAUCAGCCUUUGGAAAAGGGUGGGCUUAUCCAGGGUAGGACGGCUCUCAGCCUCGGCCAGGCCACGUGGAUGAUUUGGGCUGAUUCACUUUGGAUCCGCCCCUCCAUUUGCUCCUCUGACUUCCUUGCCAGACUUUACCAUCCUGCUCCAGCCCCAGAGGCUGGCCUGUGUGGAUUUCACUGACAGCUCUCUGUCCUGGUCUUCCUGUUUGGCUUGGCCAGUGGAAGGGCCUGGCAGGAGAUUGAGGGCAAGAGGAGAGAGGGAGGUCUGGGUAUUUAAUCCCUAAGCCCCUCCUCCCCGAUUGUUUUUACCAAAGGUGCCCUUUCUCACAUGGUCUCUCUCAGGGUUCCUGAAGCCACUUUUCUGCUCAGGACAGUGACAGUCUUGCUGUUGCAAGCCCUGGGUACUACGCCAUCCUCGGUGCUUCCUUAGCCCCGCCCACACCCGUAUACAUUGACCCUUUACUAAACUGUCUUCAUGGACCCAGCUUGAGGGUGGCAUCUGUUCGGUGCCAGGACCCUCACUCAUGUAAUUCCUGUAAGGCACAUUCUUCUGAAGUACAGUCCCAAGCCAGAGGGUCCUGAGGCCUCAUUGGAAAUGUCCAAAGAAGUGAAGGUCUGCUUUUCCGUCCCUGCCACAUCGUGCAUUGCCUUAUUAGGAGCCAAGCCUUCCUAAGAAGGCAGAAGCUAGAGGCCCUCUCUGAAUCAGCCAGCUUCCUGGGUUUUUCCGGAGAGGCAGAGAGACCUGCCCCCAGCCACACCAUGGGUGGCAGAGGUGGGUCCUGCUGGCUGUGUCCGUCUCCUCUGUCUGGGGAAGACAAAGGUCCCCCCACAACCACCAGUAGCAGAAGAUGCUAUCCCUGCAUCUUUACGUAUCUUUCCUUUGUUUUACUUUUUUAUUGUAGUAAAAAAUACAUAACAUAAAAU